GGGUAGUAGAACAAUGGGAUUAUGCUGUCACAAAAAACAAAGAAAAAACAUAAUUUCUUAAAUCAUGGUCUGUCACUGAAUCUGGUUAUAAAACCUUAUCUUGCACUAGAAGGAUCUGUAGCUUUUCCAGCUGAGAAUGGGGUUCAGGAUACCGAAUCAACACUAGAAAAGAGAGAAACUGGGGAUGAAGAAAACUCAGCUAAAUUUCCUAUAGGAAGGAGAGAUUUUGACAUAUUCUCAGACCACUUCUACCAAAACAUAAAUCUGUGAUUGUGAUCUCUGAAAGUCAGUCCUUUUAUCUACUCAAAAGAAGACACUAAGGUUUUCAGAAAUUAAAUUGCUUUUUGGAAAAGGUGGGAGAUUCUGGGAACAUAGAAACUUGAAUCCAGUUUUCUUCAACUCCACGUCAAGACAGUUGCAUUGUGUGAGAAAAUAGCUACGGCCAUUUGUGAUAGUUAUGACUCAAGGCUUUGAGAAUGUAAAGAGACGCCCUUCACAUGUUGAGAAAUGGCACGAUUUCACGUUAUCAGUGCAGUUCGGUUCUCAGGGGGAAAGAAGUGUGAAACUGUCAGGAAGACAGAUGAAAUGAUUUGCCUGAGGCCGUAUCAUCAAACAAGAAAUUCAUAUUCACCUUUCUGGAAUUCUUAGGAUAAUGAUUACAUGUGUUCAAUUGUUAAAAAUUGGCAGAUAAAAUUUUAUGUAUUUACCACGUACAACAUGAAAUUUUGAAAC
rnacentral:lncRNA from 1 species